rnacentral:rRNA from 1 species
AGAACGAACGCUGGCGGCAGGCCUAACACAUGCAAGUCGAACGGGUAUCUUCGGAUACUAGUGGCGGACGGGUGAGUAACGCGUGGGAACGUACCCUUUGGUUCGGAAUAGCCUCGGGAAACUGGGAGUAAUACCGGAUACGGUCGAGAGACGAAAGAUUUAUCGCCGAAGGAUCGGCCCGCGUUGGAUUAGGUAGUUGGUGGGGUAAUGGCCUACCAAGCCGACGAUCCAUAGCUGGUUUGAGAGGAUGAUCAGCCACACUGGGACUGAGACACGGCCCAGACUCCUACGGGAGGCAGCAGUGGGGAAUCUUAGACAAUGGGGGAAACCCUGAUCUAGCCAUGCCGCGUGAUCGAUGAAGGCCUUAGGGUGUAAAGAUCUUUCAGUGGGGAAGAUAAUGACGGUACCCACAGAAGAAGCCCGGCUAACUCCGCGCCAGCAGCCGC